UUCCGGUUGAUCCUGCCGGAGGCCACUGCUAUCGGGGUCCGACUAAGCCAUGCGAGUCAAGGGGGUGUCCCUCUGGGACACCACCGGCGGACGGCUCAGUAACACGUCGGUAACCUACCCUCGGGAGGGGGAUAACCCCGGGAAACUGGGGCUAAUCCCCCAUAGGCCUGAGGUACUGGAAGGUCCUCAGGCCGAAAGGGGCUCUGCCCGCCCGAGGAUGGGCCGGCGGCCGAUUAGGUAGUUGGUGGGGUAACGGCCCACCAAGCCGAAGAUCGGUACGGGCUGUGAGAGCAGGAGCCCGGAGAUGGACACUGAGACACGGGUCCAGGCCCUACGGGGCGCAGCAGGCGCGAAACCUCCGCAAUGCGGGAAACCGCGACGGGGGGACCCCGAGUGCCGUGGCAUCGCCACGGCUUUUCCGGAGUGUAAAAAGCUCCGGGAAUAAGGGCUGGGCAAGGCCGGUGGCAGCCGCCGCGGUAAUACCGGCGGCCCGAGUGGUGGCCGCUAUUAUUGGGCCUAAAGCGUCCGUAGCCGGGCCCGUAAGUCCCUGGCGAAAUCCCACGGCUCAACCGUGGGGCUUGCUGGGGAUACUGCGGGCCUUGGGACCGGGAGAGGCGGGGGGUACCCCUGGGGUAGGGGUGAAAUCCUGUAAUCCCAGGGGGACCGCCAGUGGCGAAGGCGCCCCGCUGGAACGGGUCCGACGGUGAGGGACGAAGGCCAGGGGAGCAAACCGGAUUAGAUACCCGGGUAGUCCUGGCUGUAAAGGAUGCGGGCUAGGUGUCGGGUGAGCUUCGGGCUCGCCCGGUGCCGUAGGGAAGCCGUUAAGCCCGCCGCCUGGGGAGUACGGCCGCAAGGCUGAAACUUAAAGGAAUUGGCGGGGGAGCACUACNAGGGGUGGAGCGUGCGGUUUNAUUGGAUUCAACGCCGGG
rnacentral:rRNA from 1 species